AUAGCCAUGCAUGUCUAAGUACAAACAAAUUAAAAGUGAAACCGCAAAAGGCUCAUUAUAUCAGUUAUGGUUCCAUAGAUCGUUAACAGUUACUUGGAUAACUGUGGUAAUUCUAGAGCUAAUACAUGCAAAAUAAACACGGACCUUUUGGAACGUGUGCUUUUAUUAGGCUAAAACCAAGCGAUCGUAAGAUCGUUAUAUUGGUUGAACUCUAGAUAACUUGCAGAUCGUAUGGUCUCGUACCGACGACAGAUCUUUCAAAUGUCUGCCCUAUCAACUUUUGAUGGUAGUAUCUAGGACUACCAUGGUUGCAACGGGUAACGGGGAAUCAGGGUUCGAUUCCGGAGAGGGAGCCUGAGAAACGGCUACCACAUCUAAGGAAGGCAGCAGGCGCGUAAAUUACCCACUCCCAGUUCGGGGAGGUAGUGACGAAAAAUAACAAUACAGGACUCAUAUCCGAGGCCCUGUAAUUGGAAUGAGUACACUUUAAAUCCUUUAACAAGGACCUAUUGGAGGGCAAGUCUGGUGCCAGCAGCCGCGGUAAUUCCAGCUCCAAUAGCGUAUAUUAAAGUUGUUGCGGUUAAAACGUUCGUAGUUGAAUUUGUGCUUCAUACGGGUAGUACAGCUAUAAUUGUGGUAUGUACAUUACCUUAUGUAUGUAAGCGUAUUACCGGUGGAGUUCUUAUAUGUAAUUAAUACAAUGUAUUUUUUAUAUAUUCCUCCUAUUUAAACCUGCUUCAGUGCUCUUCAUCGAGUGUUGUUGUGGGCCGGUACAAUUACUUUGAACAAAUUAGAGUGCUUAAAGCAGGCUCCAAAUGCCUGAAUAUUUUGUGCAUGGAAUAAUGAAAUAAGACCUCUGUUCUACUUUCAUUGGUUUUUAGAUCAAGAGGUAAUGAUUAAUAGAAGCAGUUUGGGGGCAUUAGUAUUACGACGCGAGAGGUGAAAUUCUUGGACCGUCGUAAGACUAACUUAAGCGAAAGCAUUUGCCAAAGAUGUUUUCAUUAAUCAAGAACGAAAGUUAGAGGU
rnacentral:rRNA from 1 species